rnacentral:rRNA from 1 species
GUGCCAGCCGCCGCGGUAAUACGUAGGUGGCAAGCGUUGUCCGGAAUUACUGGGCGUAAAGGGCGUGUAGGCGGCCUUUUAAGUCAGACGUGAAAUCUCCAGGCUUAACCUGGAAACUGCGUUUGAAACUGGAGGGCUUGAGGAUCGGAGAGGGCAGUGGAAUUCCCAGUGUAGCGGUGAAAUGCGUAGAUAUUGGGAGGAACACCAGUGGCGAAGGCGACUGCCUGGACGACACCUGACGCUGAGGCGCGAAAGCUAGGGGAGCAAACGGGAUUAGAUACCCCGGUAGUCCUAGCCGUAAACGAUGGGUACUAGGUGUGGGAGGUAUCGACCCCUUCCGUGCCGCAGUUAACACAAUAAGUACCCCGCCUGGGGAGUACGGCCGCAAGGUUGAA